UACAGAGGUCUCAAGCGUUGUUCGGAUUCAUUGGGCGUAAAGGGUGCGUAGGCGGCGGGGCAAGUCUGAUGUGAAAUCCCGGGGCUCAACCCCGGAACUGCAUUGGAUACUGCCUUGCUAGAGUACUGGAGAGGAGACUGGAAUUUACGGUGUAGCAGUGAAAUGCGUAGAUAUCGUAAGGAAGACCAGUGGCGAAGGCGGGUCUCUGGACAGUUCCUGACGCUGAGGCACGAAGGCCAGGGGAGCAAACGGG
rnacentral:rRNA from 1 species